UAUUAUUUGUAAUUGCCACCUGCCUUCCCGUUGUUCUAUCUUGACGACAACGCGUGCUACUUCGUAUUUCUUGUUUGCAAAUUAUUCUCUACAUAUCUUUCCGUUAAAAUUUGCAUGCAUAAAGUAUUUGUCACUGGACGGUCAGAAAACAACAUUCAAUCAAUCAUAUAUCUUCUAAAAUAACAGCACUACAUGUAUAAUGAAUUUAAACAUAUUCAAAAGAAUAAAAGCUUCUUUUAUUUUUUAAUCAGAUAUUUACACGUCAAAGAAAAUAAAAUAAAUAUGAAUACCAAAAAAAGUCCUUAUCACAUAACUAAAAGGACUUAAGCAAUACGUUAGGAUAAAAUUAAAAGCAACUUUUUUUAUAUUACUUCACCCGUAGUGUAAAGAAAAAGUCUAAUUUUAAAUAGUACAUUAAAUUGUUUAUUAAAAGGUUUUGAAGUUUUCCUUUCAGCGGUUGACAUCAUAACAUUAGCAAUGUUUCCAUAAAAAGGAGGAAAUUUAUUAAAAUGAAAAUAAAGUCUUUAAGUCUAUAAAAGAUGUGGGGUCAAGAGACAAAAGAAGUCAAAUAAAAAAUCAAAGUAGAAUUGUGAUAGACAUUCCCAUGGCCAAAAAGAAAAGCAACGUGAUUACCUUACUAAACCUGACUACUAAACCUUUUACAAAACACUACUUUCCACAAAACAAAAUUGAACAACACAAAUCCAACUAAAACAGGAUGUAAAUCAUCUCAUUUCAGAUACAUAGCUUAAUAUUUGUACGUCAGACCCGUGUUAUUUUAUAAAGGACUCGUCAGUAUGAAGCAUAGUUAUUUAAUCAUAUUUUUGAAUGUAAAAUAGGGUUAUUGUAUAAAUAUUGGGGAAUAUUGUCCCGAAUAGAAUUUUUUAUUACACGAGCUUCAGAGUGCAAUAUAUGUUCUACGAGGGACAAUAUUCCCUAAUAGUCAUGCAAUAACCCUUUAUAUUAUAGCAAUAUAAUAUUUGAAAGUCAAAAUUGUUUUAAACAAAGACUUUGUCGUCGGUGACGUCAUGAAUUUUGAAGAUUUAUUGCACUAGUGCAAUAUUAGAAUUUAUUGCACCCUAACUUUUGGUUACUUUCUGUGGUAAAUAUGAUAUUGAUAUGCAAUAAUAUAUCUUAUAAAUUACUGUGUAAUAAAUAUUAUAUAUAAAUAUAUGGUUAUGCUCAGAAACAGACUCUUUAAUUUGAUCAAUAAAAAAUCUUAUUCUUAUUCUUUUUCUUGUUUGAAUCAGAAAAGAGUGAAAAAUGGUUAUAAAGUACGAAAAUGAAAAUCAUUGUGGACCGAUAUAAUUUUCAAAGAUUUCCGCAAAAUAUAUCUAAGACAAAAAUGUAAACUGAUGUUCUACAGGGGUUCAUUAUAUUCUAAUGCCCUUGUAUGUCAUGUUACGCAUUUUUGAUGAGUGAUAUCCUCCAAUAAGGCUUCACAUAAAGCUUAUCCCCUAAUGUUAAUUUUCUAACACCAUGUGUUUAGCUAUUUGUGUAAAUACAUUAUUUUCCCCUUAACAUUCCAGCAUCAUGGCGGCGCCCCUCAAUUGCUCCGAAAGAUGCGCUAUAAGUCCAUUUGGUACCAAUGCUUUGUGUUGAUUACAGUCUACAAAUAAGACGAACCGCUUCAUUAAUAAAACCCGAACAAUAUUCCAUUGGCGAGUUCGAUCAGAAACAACUCUAUCAUAACCUGAAAAAUGUCCUGAUGACAACCAUUCUCUUUUUAGAUCAGAAAGGAGGUGGUAGUGAAAAAAAUAUAUAAAUAAUCGACUACGUGAUUGAUACCAUAUAAAAUUUCAACUUUGGUUCUAUUCAAAACAGGUUCUAUGUCUUGUAAUCUCCAUGGAUAUGAAACUGCCAUACAAUUGCAAGAUAUAGCUAGCUGUAAAAUAAGUUAUAAUCCACCAUUUUCGACGUAAGUCAGGAAUAUGACAGUAGUUUUCAAUUCACAUUAUGUGUUUGAGCUGUUCAUUUUGACAUUUGAUUAAAAAGAAUGUUGGUACUUUUAUUAUUUUUCAUUUUACGCAGAACUAUGCACAAACCCUCUGUAUCAGAUGGAACUGUAUUGUUGUUUUAGAUAGAUUUUUCUGGUAACUGGAGUGUGUUACUUAUGGGAUUGAUAUCUUCUCCUUCAAAUUGGAUCAUCGUGGGCAUUUAUCUUUUGUUAAAUUGUCAAUGUCGAACUUUGAAUAUUGCAUCUUAAGCGAGAAAGUAAUAUCAAUUCAUCAUUUUUUUUCUAAAGCAACCAAACCGAAGUUUGCCGCUAUAAUUAAUUAACACAGCUUAUAAAACAAUGAUACUGAUUGGUUUACGUGUUAAAGGUGACCAAUCAGUGUUUUUAUACAAAAUUCAAAUAACCGGUUCCAUACGAACAUGUACACGUGAGUUUUAUUUAAUCAUACUAAAGAUAGAAGUGCAUGUACCCGU
rnacentral:lncRNA from 1 species